ACUAAAGAUAACCUCCUAACAUAGAUCCCUGAGUUGUUUUUCAGAAACAUGGAUGCCCAGCAAAUGAAUCCACUGGCACCUAGACCUCAGGAGGGCUUGCUAAUUGAAGUUGAAACAUCAGAUGUCCUGAAAGCACUCAAACUCAUCAGAAGUGGAAUUUGUCUCUUCACCCUUUGAAUCUGGCCUAGCACCUGAGCCCUGCUUUGAUGAAAAGAAUGCAGUAGCGGCAGCACUGUGGACCCCAUGAAGCUUCUCAGUGUCCAUUUUCGUCCCUUUGGAACACUGCCCAAGACUGCCACGUGAAGAAUCCCAGUCUAGCCUGGUGGAGGAGGAGAGGGUAUUGGGACUACAUGAGCCAACCCAUCUGAGGCCUUUUAAAUCAGCCAGCUGCCAGCUAGCAUCUACCAUCUACCAGGGGAGGGCAUCUUAAACCUGCCAGCCCCAGUCAAGCCACCAGAUUAUUGUAGCCACUGAGUGAGCCCAGGCAAGACCAGCAGAAAAUUUGUCGCCCAGUUGAGUCCAGCCCAAAUUGUUGACCCACAGAAUCAUGAGCAAAAAUAACAGCCGUUGUAAACCACUACAUUUUGGGGGUGGCUUAUUAUGCAGCAGAAACUAAAUUAUACAGGAGGUUAUCCCAGGAAGCACAAGUGAGGAAAUAAGAGAAGACAGAGAAAGGAGGAGAGUUAAUAAGGGGUACUCUAAGGAGCAGGUUAUUACUGUGGGCAAUUGAAGCUAAAUCCUGCUGGAUACCCUCUGAAGAGUCCUGUAGAAGGCAUCUCAGAACAGUCUCUCCACAGAAAGAGAAACCAGAUUACUCACCCAAUAAUUCCUUACCCUACACCUCACUGGCCAAUGGUUCCCUGGGGGAUUUAGGUCCUCAGCACUUCCUUUUUUUUUUUUUUUUGAGAUGGAGUCUCACUCUUGUUAUCCAGGCUGGAGUGCAAUGGUGUGAUCUCGGCUCACGGCAACCUCUGCCUUCUGGGUUCAAGCAAUUCUCCUGCCUCAGCUUCCUGAGUAGCUGGGAUUACAGGCAUGCAUCACCACUCCCGGCUAAUUUUUUGUAUUUUUAGUAAAGAGGGGGUUUCUCCAUGUUGGUCAGGCUUGUCUCGAACUCCUGACCUCAGGUGAUCUGCCUGCCUUGGCCUCCCAAAGUGCUAGGAUUACAGGCGUGAGCCACCGCGCCUGCCCUGGUCCCCAGCACUUCUGAUCUGCUGUGCAGCCAAGCUGGACAAGGUCGCUGGCAAUGGAGAGAUCUUGCAGGCAGGGAAGUAGAGGAAUGAGG